UUGUAGAACUAACAAUAUUCUAUUUAUUAAUUACAGAAACUACGGAAACUAUUUUUAAGAAUUACAACAAAUUCUAUGAGGUCACUGCCUUUAAUUUUCAUGAACGAUCUAUUCUUUAUAGUUUGCAAAUGAACAAUGACUCUGUAGUUUUCUUGAAUGGUGUAACAAAUGAAGCUGCAAUACCGAUGCACGUUAUUGUGGACAAAUGCUGUGUUAAACAGUUUGAACAACAACUUCAAUAUGAAGGAAUUGAAUACGUAAUGCAUGAUGAUUUAUUUACAAGAGGAGGUCAAUAUUAUCAAGGACAGAAUAAAUCAUUAGUAGGGAAUACCAUUAAAUUUUACAGUAUGAGUGAUGGAUUCCUUAAAUGGGAAGAUAUAGGAAUGUGGAUAAGCAGACAACAAAAAUUGAAUCCUUUAUUGGAGAAAAUAGUAAUUUCUAAUACAUAUGAGAAAAGAGAGCUGUUCAUACUAUCUAUUGCCAAAUGGAAAGAAAAUCCUGCAGUAGUCAUUGUUGGUGGGGAACAAGGAAAAGAUUGGAUGUCAUCAGCAAUCAUUUUUAAAAUUAUUAACGACCUUCAGAGCAAUAAAGAUUUCAUUGUUUUAAUGGAGUAUUACAAUUUUUAUUUUCUCCCCAUUUUAAAUCCAGAUGGAUAUGCCUUUAGCAUGGCCAAGGAUAGAUUCUGGGACAAGAAUAGAAAAGCAUUUUUCCCAAAAAAGAAGUGUUAUUCAGAAUAUUAUUUAAAUAAAGAUAUUGCAGUGGGAGUAAACAUUGAUAGAAAUUGGUACUUUGGAACAUCUUUAGGUUUUGGAGAUGGCAGUGAGUGCGACUCAAUUUACAUGGGUCAUAAACCCCUAUGUGAGGAAGAACCAAAAGCUCUGUCAGAAUUUCUCAAUAGUCAUGCAACCAGCUUAAUGGCAUUUUUUAAUUUGAAAGGUUUUGGUGGCAGACUCAUAACUUUGCCAUAUUGUGAUACUACUAUGCAAUCUUAUAAUCAUGGAGUCUUGAUGGAGAUAAUUAUGUCUGCAUGUGAAAAGGUACAUCAGAAGUAUAAUUCUACCUACUACCAUGGCAGUACAGGCAGAUUUUUUUACAAUGUUUCGGGUAACAGUGCAGAUUGGAUCAAGAAACAUUUUAAUGUACCCAUAGUUUCUACAAUACAUAUGCAAUAUAAAGAAGAAAACUUUCCACAAUCUGCACACAUAGGAUACUUAACACAGGAAUUUAUUACAAUAAUAAAUGAGAUUCUAUUAAUAAGUAAAGAGAUCUAUGGGCCAUUGUUUAACCAUCAGACAAGGCAUACUAAAAAUACUUACACAUAUCUAGCUCUAAUGGUAGGAGCACAUAAAUUACUUAAUAAGAUUUCUAUGCAAAUAACUGAUAAAUAAUUUUAA